UAAUUAAAGAUUAAAAUAGCAUGGGCGACUGAGAAUUUUUUUGGAGGUCACAAUUUAAGACCAUAUGGCAAACAAUAAUGCAGGUACUAGGGAUGGAGGUGUGACUAGGGAUGGAGGUGUGACUAGGUACUGGGGAUGGAGGUGUGACUAGGGAUGGAGGUGUGACUAGGUACUGGGGAUGGAGGUGUGACUAGGGAUGGAGGUGUGACUAGGUACUAGGGAUGGAGGUGUGACUAGGUACUGGGGAUGGAGGUGUGACUAGGUACUGGGGAUGGAGGUGUGACUAGGUACUGGGGAUGGAGGUGUGACUACAUACUGGGGAUGGAGGUGUGACUAGGGAUGGAGGUGUGACUAGGUACUAGGGAUGGAGGUGUGACUAGGUACAAGGGAUGGAGGUGUGACUAGGGAUGGAGGUGUGACUAGGUACUAGGGAUGGAGGUGUGACUAGGGAUGGAGGUGUGACCAGGCACUAGGGAUGGAGGUGUGACUAGGUACUAUGGAUGGAGGUGUGACUAGGUACUAGGGAUGGAGGUGUGACUAGGGAUGGAGGUAUGACUAGGUACUGGGGAUGGAGGUGUGACCAGGCACUAGGGAUGGAGGUGUGACCAGGUACUAGGGAUGGAGGUGUGACCAGGUACUAGGGAUGGAGGUGUGACCAGGUACUAGGGAUGGAG
ensembl:lncRNA